UGCUUAACACAUGCAAGUUGAACGGAAAAGUUUUUUUCCGUAGCGAACGGGUGAGUAUAUACAGAAUUUUUCCUUUCAGUUCAGCACAAAUAUUUACUUUAGUAAAUAAAAUUCUGAAUAAAUUUAAAAAGGUUUGCUUUUAAGUAUUCUGCUGAAAGAUAAAUCUGUUUAAGAUUAGGUUGUUGGUAAUUUAAAAGCUUACCAAGCCUACGAUCUUUAGUUGGUCUUAGCGGAUGAUCAACCACACUGGAACUGAAAUAAGGUCCAGGCUGACACGUCGGCCAGCAGUGAGGAAUAUUGGACAAUGAACGAAAGUUUGAUCCAGCAAUACUAACUGGGUGAUGACGGCUUAUUUAAGUUGUAAGAUCCUUUAAUUAAAGAAGAUAAUGACAUUAUUUAAUUGAAUUUAGUCCUGGCUAAUACUCGUGCCAGCAGCCGCGGUAAUACGGGAAGGGCAAGCGUUAUCCGGCAUGACUGGGCGUAAAGAGUCCGUAGACUGUAAAGUAAGUUUUUUGUUAAAUUUUAAGACUUAAUCUUAAUUAAGCAAUUAAUACUGCUUUACUUUGAGUUUAAUACAGAAAAGUAGAAUUUUAUACGGUAGGGGUGAAAUCUGCAGAUAUAUAAAGGAAUGCCAAUAGCGAAG
rnacentral:rRNA from 1 species